UCAUGUGGCCUUUAGUAAGAAGCGUCCACUCUCAUUGUGUUUUAUUUACCAGCUUGCUUUUAAAGAGCCAGGACCAGUCCACUAGCUGUGCAGAGUGCUGACCUCUUGGAUGAGAGCCCUGACCUCAUAGGAUAUCUGAGCUUGUCAUAAUUCAGGUGGGUUCUGUAGGGAAGCAGGGGCUCGUGGGGAGUGGGAGGAAGCUGGGGAGAAGAUGAGUUGAGAGCAGUCCAGUGUGAGGGAAAGUGGGGAUCCUGGGCCAACUUACCAUUAAGAGGGUCCAGUCCUGUGACUGCUGUGAAGUAACCAGGAUUCCACAUAGAGAUGGGGCUCAAAGUCAGCCCAGGAGCAGCACUGUGGUCCCAGAACUAAUAUUUGGCGACUCCAAGGCCAGGGAUAAAAAUGAAGAGAUGGAGAGACAAGAUUUCCUGGCCUCUAAUUGGCAGCACCCGUUGACUCUGCUCGUGACCAGACUCAUGAACGCUUCAUCCAAGGUUUCAUGUCAUCCGUGUGAGGAACCUCUCUGAUUUGAGAAAAUCUUUCUUAAAAUGGGCUUCUAGUUGUAAAGCCAUUGUCUUUUUAGGAAAUCAUCAAAUACCUUAAAGCUAGACACGCAAUCAGCUGCAUAAAUGACACACUCACUAAAUCAAUCCUUUAUCAGGUGGUCCUUCAAGGAUUUCUUGGUUUUGGGUUUUGAAAUGUGUAAGGUUUGCUGCUAGCAACUCCACAUUUUUUUAUUCACUCACAAAGACACAUGGUCAUAAAUAAAAUGCAUGGAACCAGCGAGACAAUAGCACAGCAGUAAUGUCAUUUUAUAUGCAGCAUGGCCCUGUUGUGAACGGAAUGAUUGUGAACGGAAUGAUGGCCAAGGAGCUUUAUGCUUCUGCACCGCCAGCUCACACGAUGGUCCGUGUAUUGCCCCGUGGAAAACCGGGGGUGGAAAGCUGUCUCCACGUUCUGCUGCCGAAGCAGCAAGCUGAUUCACACAUCUUGAAGGCACAGUGGAACAUGGAAGGGUGCAUAUGAGACUUGAUUUUGAGGAUGAAACUUCCUGUCUGAAUCGCUAAGUCUCCCAGCAGGGGUGUUAAUGUCCCUGUGAGAUGCAGGCUUCCCACAGACACACCCAGGUUGCGAGUGGGUUCAACAUGGUCACAGGAGCUUCAAAUGGUGAUCCUGAUGCUCAUGGCCAUGCAUUGAGAACAACUGUGUAAGAAGAUAUGGAUAAUGCUUGAAAACUACUAGUAUUAGCACCAUUUUGGUUGAUCCUGGUUUGGGAAGCUUCCAGCUUGGAAUGAUUACAAUAGAAAGAAGCUGUUCUCCUGAUUCUUCCUGAUGCUGACACACCUUCUCUUUUUAAAAACAAUAGCAUGGCACCUUUGAUUACUGUUAUAAAGUCCAGAGGUCUUCAGACUGGGGCACACCCACCCAGGGGGGUAUAUAAAGACUUUGUAAGGGGCACUUGGGCAUCGAAGUGUUGGGUUAUGUGUCCUCAACUUUCCUAUCGUCGAGUUCCUAAAACAGACUUGCAUAAGAACCUCUGGGCUGGGAGUUAUUUACCCUCUCCUACAUCUCUUCCUUUCUAUCAUCCUUUUGCUACUCUACAAAGGAAAGGCACCACCCUCCCCCAUCCCAAAUCUUACUAAAGUAUAUUGCCUGGGUGUAGAAACCUUUAUGAUAGCAAAGGGACAAUUUCAUUUCAUAAUACAUAUUUAUUAAAUACCUAAUAUAUACCAGG
rnacentral:lncRNA from 1 species